UGUGUAUAUAUAUAUAUGCAAAUGUUUGCAGUAUAUUUCAAAAAUUGAAACGAUUUUAUGUCUCCCAGGGGAAAGAGUGGUGGCCUUUGCUGCUGUAGAAGGAGUUUUCUUCUCAGGAUCUUUUGCUGCUAUAUUCUGGCUAAAGAAGAGAGGUCUUAUGCCAGGACUCACUUUUUCCAAUGAACUCAUCAGCAGAGAUGAAGGACUUCACUGUGACUUUGCUUGCCUGAUGUUCCAAUACUUAGUAAAUAAGCCUUCAGAAGAAAGGGUCAGGGAGAUCAUUGUUGAUGCUGUCAAAAUUGAGCAGGAGUUUUUAACAGAAGCCUUGCCAGUUGGCCUCAUUGGAAUGAAUUGCAUUUUGAUGAAACAGUACAUUGAGUUUGUAGCUGACAGAUUACUUGUGGAACUUGGAUUCUCAAAG
rnacentral:lncRNA from 10 species